GUUCACAUGUGGCACACAAACCUGCUCUCACGAGGGAGGAGAGCGAGCAGAGAUCAUCACACCUGGUGCUUCUCUGGACGUCUACCUGGAGAACAGCUCAGUCAUCUGUAACCAUAGCAACCAGGUCAGCUCUACAAGGGGCAUCCAAAAGAUUGAAGAGUUUUGUAAAGCAUCGAAAGGCAGCCAAAAUAUUGUUACACCGAUUGUUGUACCCAUCGUCUUAUCUCUUGGUGUUGUUUUGGCUAUAAUUUGAAUUCAUCAUCGAAGGAGAAAACAAAAUAAAGCAGAGAACAUGGAAAAUACAGUCUAUGAAGAUCCUCAGUUAAGGAGGAAUAUUUUUUAAUACCAAUUUCCCAAAUUAGUCAGAAGUGAAGAAAUUCUUGAACAAAUUAAUGAUUGAGAACUGAUGUGAAGAGACAGGCCAGAGACAUUACUGUUUUCAAAUUCCUCACUAGCUCUUGUUUUUUGAAACUUGUUU